UACGUAGGUCGCAAGCGUUGUCCGGAUUUACUGGGCGUAAAGAGCGCGCAGGCGGCUGGCCAAGUCCGAUGUGAAAUCUCCCGGCUUAACCGGGAAACUGCAUCGGAAACUGGUCGGCUUGAAGGUGGGAGAGGGUAGCGGAAUUCCCGGUGUAGUGGUGAAAUGCGUAGAUAUCGGAAGGAACACCGGUGGCGAAAGCGGCGCGCUGGACCUCUUCUGACGCUGAGGCGCGAAAGCCAGGGGAGCAAACGGG
rnacentral:rRNA from 1 species